GUGGGGAAUUUUGGACAAUGGGCGCAAGCCUGAUCCAGCAAUGCCGCGUGCAGGAAGAAGGCCUUCGGGUUGUAAACUGCUUUUGUACGGAACGAAAAGGCUCUGGCUAAUACCUGGAGCUCAUGACGGUACCGUAAGAAUAAGCACCGGCUAACUACGUGCCAGCAGCCGCGGUAAUACGUAGGGUGCGAGCGUUAAUCGGAAUUACUGGGCGUAAAGCGUGCGCAGGCGGUGCUGUAAGACAGGCGUGAAAUCCCCGGGCUCAACCUGGGGAUUGCGCUUGUGACUGCAGCGCUGGAGUGCGGCAGAGGGGGAUGGAAUUCCGCGUGUAGCAGUGAAAUGCGUAGAUAUGCGGAGGAACACCGAUGGCGAAGGCAAUCCCCUGGGCCUGCACUGACGCUCAUGCACGAAAGCGUGGGGAGCAAACAGGAUUAGAUACCCCUGUAGUCC
rnacentral:rRNA from 1 species